AAAACGUUGCUCGCCCAUUCUUUCCAUGAGACAUUUGUGAUUUAAGCUUUAAGAGUCUUUGUGAGAUGAUUCUCCCCUCUUCCUAUUGCAGUAGACUUCUUAAUAAAAUGUUUCCAUGUUCGUGUCCAGAUUAGACGGUUUACUAUAGUGGUAAUGAUGCCAUAACUUGAACAAAAUUCUGACUGCCCCUCAACUGUCUUUUUUCUACAACUUACUGUGACUUGGACAGUAUGCUGACUUCCAUCCCUUUCUCUUCACCCAAGUGAUGAUGCUACCUUAUUGAACUCUUUGAAACCUGACUUGGAAAGCAAAAUCGAAAAUGAGAAGGGGUUAUAAGAAGCCAGCAUCAGCGGAGAACUGACCCUUACCAGAAGCCUAUUUGCAAGGAGAACACAGGUUCAGUCCUUCUAGAAAUCAACUAGCUACUGGCAAUCAGCCCAAGGGGAAGAACAGGAAACAAAUGUAAGAUGAAGGCCCAUUCUGAAUCAACCCCAAAAGGUUUUUAAAAAGAAGCAUCCAUCCUGGAAUUAUGAG